rnacentral:rRNA from 1 species
AUUGACCGCUGGCUGCAGGCCUAACACAUGCAAGUCGAGCGAGCGGCGGACGGGUGAGUAAUGUAUGGGGACUGCCCGAUAGAGGGGGAUAACUACUGGAAACGGUGGCUAAUACCGCAUACUAUCGGAUAACCCAUAUGGGAUUAGCUAGUAGGUGGGGUAAAGGCUAACAUAGGCGACGAUCUCUAGCUGGUCUGAGAGGAUGAUCAGCCACACUGCGACGUAGACACGGCCCAGACUCCUACGGAGGCAGCAGUGAGGAAUAUUGCACACUGGGCGCAAUCCUGGUGAAGCCAAGACGCGUAUAUGAAGAAGGCCUUAGGGUUGUAGAGUACUUUCAGCGAGGAGGCGUUACCCGCAGAGGGAGCACCGGCUAACGCCGUGCCAGCCGCCGCGGUAAUUC